AAAAAAAAAAAAAUCAAAAUUGAUUAACUCGUGGCUUUUUACAAUAGAAAGGAACGAGGUUCAUCAAAAGGAGCAUAGAAAGGAGAAAGAGUGACUGACCAUACAACCCUUGCUCUGCCAUUGUUGCGACCUCUUUCUGCAGUAUGAAACAAAAGAAGAAAUGGGAAAGGAGAAGCCAAAAUCCAUAGGAGUAUGGCCUGCAGUGAGACCCUUUGUCAAUGGCGGAGCGUCUGGCAUGCUCGCUACCUGUGUUGUCCAACUCAUCGACAUGAUCAAGAUAAAUUUUGUAACUUCCACAAAUACGCACACUAUCUAUUUGAGAAUGGGAGCUAUGAGGAGGCUAUGGAACAGUUUUUGGCAUCUCAAGUAGAAAUCACAUAUGUGCUUUCUUUAUAUCCAUCUAUUGUCCUUCCGAAAUCAGCUGUGGUACCUGAGCCGAAGAAGUAUAUAGACAUCACCGGAGAUACUCCAUAUCUGUCAAGAGGCUCGUCUGGUAUAUCAGAUGAUGUCUAUAUACUUCACAGAUGAUGGAAUCCCCACCUACUUCACAGCUGUUGGAAUCUGAUGAGAGUGCUGCCCUGGAGUCCAAGAAAAUGAGCCAUAACAUGCUAAUGGUUCUCAUCAAGUUUUUGCAGAAGAAGAGAUACAGUAUAAUUGAAAAAGCCAUUGCUGAGGGAACUGGGGAAGUUGUUUCAGAUGCUGUUGGGGAUAAUUACGUAUUGUAUGAUUCCAAUCAGUUUAAGAAAUCAUCCAAGGUAAAUUAUUCAUAUUUUCCUUCAUGAGGAAAAUUAGGUCAUGUCAAAUAUAAUUCAAAAGUAUUUUACAUUGAUUUGUAGUAGCUUUGCUUGAUUCCUUCUUUUACUUGUAUUUUCAGGAGUAUUUAUAUAGUUCAAAAGUAUUUAUAUUUGAUCAUGAUCAUUUGAAUUAAAUGCACAGAUGCUAGACUGCAUGGUUGCUAAAUUUCAUCCUAAAAUAUCCACACACAUGCAUACACACGUAAUAUGCAUGUAAUGGCAAGUAGUGCUGGCGAUGGAUGCACAAGUAAUGAUGACAUCUAUUUAUAAAUUAUCAUCAAUAUUUCAUACAAUAAAUUAUUUGAAUUAUCAUGAUUGAUGUGGGUACUUGUAUCAAGCUCAAUACGUGGCAAGCCCUACAGGUGCCACAUCACCAAAACCCCACCUACGUGGCAGACCAUUAAGGCACCACGUCUGGCAUGCCGUAUGUUUGAUACAUGGUGAGCCCUAUAGGCGCCAUGUGCCAAGGCAACCAAAACUAUAUGCUUAGCCUAAGCGGGAGCAUAUAUACAAGCCCAAAUAUAUCUAGAUAUGAAGAGCCCUGCAACAGGCAGCACCAUGGCCCUGCAGGGCCCAUGGUCCUUUAUACCUAGCUCCAAGGCCAAACAACAAUACAAUCAGCCUCCGGCUCACUUGUACUUGGAUUGAUAAACAAUGGCUCUCCUAAACAUUGAGAUAGGCCUGCGGCCCAUUCUCUUACUUGAUCGCUCAGAAGCGAGCCCCUCUCUUAAACAUUGAGCUAAGCCCGCGGCCCAUUCUCCUUAC